UACGUAGGGUGCAAGCGUUAAUCGGAAUUACUGGGCGUAAAGCGUGCGCAGGCGGCUUUGCAAGACAGAUGUGAAAUCCCCGGGCUCAACCUGGGAACUGCAUUUGUGACUGCAUGGCUGGAGUGCGGCAGAGGGGGAUGGAAUUCCGCGUGUAGCAGUGAAAUGCGUAGAUAUGCGGAGGAACACCGAUGGCGAAGGCAAUCCCCUGGGCCUGCACUGACGCUCAUGCACGAAAGCGUGGGAGCAAACAGG
rnacentral:rRNA from 1 species